rnacentral:rRNA from 1 species
UCGAGAAUCAUUCACAAUGGGGGAAACCCUGAUGGUGCAACGCCGCGUGGAGGAUGACGGUCCUCGGAUUGUAAACUCCUGUCAUCCGGGAGUAAGACCUGGGAGUGAACAGCUCACAGGGUUGAUAGUACCGGAAGAGGAAGGGACGGCUAACUUCGUGCCAGCAGCCGCGGUAAUACGAAGGUCCCAAGCGUUGUUCGGAAUCACUGGGCGUAAAGGGUGCGUAGGCGGCAUGGCAAGUCAGAUGUGAAAUCCCGGGGCUCAACCCCGGAACUGCAUCCGAUACUGCCGUGCUUGAGGACCGGAGAGGAGACUGGAAUUCUCGGUGUAGCAGUGAAAUGCGUAGAGAUCGAGAGGAACACUCGUGGCGAAGGCGAGUCUCUGGACGGUUCCUGACGCUGAGGCACGAAGGCCGGGGGAGCGAAAGGG